AGGGAAAUGAUGGAAGAAUCGCAUGACUUUCGAGGGGGACUCGCUUGCUUUUUAACACUAAAAUAUUCGGUAGGUAGGCCAGGCACGUAGGCAGGCGUAUGAAAAGUAACGUGCCUGCGAGCCGAUUGCCUGAACUUCCAAACAUUAGUCUAACAGGGAAUUAUGCAGAACAUAAGCGCCUUGCAGGCAGGUAAACAAGCUUGUAGGCAGCAAGUAGGUAUG
ensembl:ncRNA Y67D8C.14 ncRNA